rnacentral:tRNA from 1 species
GAGGGCGUAGCCCAGUGGUGGAGCACGUGCUUAGCAUGCACGAGGUCCUGGGUUCAAUCCCCAGUCCUUCCA